UGUAGUCUAUAGAGGCGUGGUCAGCGUGGGCUCUGGGCAAGUUCCUGGAAAAGGACAGCAUGGAGGGUGAUACUCCCGUUCAUCUCCGAGUGGCUCGUGCGUACGACCCGUUUUCUUUGAGUCGCGUUGUUUGAGAAUGCAGCGCAAAGUAGGUGGUAAAUUCCAUCUAAAGCUAAAUAUUGGUGCGAGACCGAUAGCAUACAAGUACCGUGAGGGAAAGAUGAAAAGAACUUUGAAAAGAGAGUUAAAGAGUACCUGAAACUGCUGAAAGGGAACCGAAUCGUUUCCAGUGUCUAUAAUCUGUGGCAUAUUUCAUUGGCGAGUGUGUGCGUGCGUGUGCUGUGGCAGCGGCCUUUUGGCUGCGCUUGGCGUGUGUGGUGUGUGUGCUUGCUGGUGCCCUGUGCUGCGGUGGGACGUCAAUGUCAGUUCGUAUGCUGCGGGAAAUGGCUGCCGAGGAGGUAGGGCUUACGCUUGCGUUUGUCUGUUAUAUCUUGGUGGACGAGUCGUCGCGGUUGGGACUGAGGUGCCUACAACGUGCUUUUGAGUGGGUUUGUGUCUCCGUGUGUGCCGUGUGCGGAUAGCUUGCUAUGCGUGUGUGGUUAUGUGUGGAUUGAUAUGGGCUUUAACUUGUUGCCGUUCGGGACGUUGACGAAAUGGAGCGAUCCGACCCGUCUUGAAACACGGACCAAGGAGUCUAACAUGUGUGCAAGUGUUAGGGUGUGGAAACCCCAGCGCGAAAUGAAAGUAAAGGGCAGCGCAAGCUGUCUGAGGUAGGAAACGUUGCGGGCUUCGGUCUGCGGCGUGGCACUAUCGACCGAUCAUGAACCUUCGUGGUGAAAGAUUUGAGUUUGAGCACAUAUGUUGGUACCCGAAAGAUGGUGAACUAUGCCUGAGUAGGGUGAAGCCAGGGGAAACUCUGGUGGAAGCUCGUAGCGAUUCUGACGUGCAAAUCGAUCGUCAAACUUGGGUAUAGGGGCGAAAGACUAAUCGAACCAUCUAGUAGCUGGUUCCCUCCGAAAUUUCCCUCAGGAUAGCAGCAACUUAUUUACGAUAGUUUUAUGAGGUAAAGCGAAUGAUUAGAGGAUUCGGGGAAGAAACUUCCUCGACCUAUUCUCAAACUUUAAAUCUGUAAGACCUGCAGGUUUCUUAAUUGAACUUGUGG
rnacentral:rRNA from 1 species